GGAUGACUACGCUGGAUCUAGAGCUAAAUAGAAACUUCUCUGUCAUACCUUCAGUCUGAUGAAGGACUGUGUCCCCAUUCAAAGAGGUCAGAUUUGUGGGCAGGCAAGAGCUCAGGAAUGAAGAACCAAAAAGGAGGCUCUCAACCCCUCUCCAAGGCCAGAUGCUCUAUGUACUCCCAUUAACUUCACAACUAAGUGCAGAUGCUCCACCAACUUUUCAAGCCAGUGCAUGCAGGGCUCUGGAGGUGAUGCCAGCAGGAUCUGGAGGGUCUUGCUCUGUCACCCAGGCUCUGGAAUGCAGUGGCACAACCACGGCUCACUGCAGUCUCAACCUCCUGGGCUCAACUGAUCCCCCCACUUCAGCCUCCUGAGUAGCUGGGACUACAGAGGACACUGGAGGUGAAGAAGGAAGCUCUUGACACUCCUAAAGCUGAUCCCAAAGUGAAGGCUUUGAAGGCCAAGAAGGCAGUGCUGAAAGGCAUCCACACAGCCACCAAG
rnacentral:sRNA from 1 species